rnacentral:rRNA from 1 species
GACGUAGGGCGCGAGCGUUGUCCGGAUUUAUUGGGCGUAAAGAGCUCGUAGGCGGCUUGUCGCGUCGGCUGUGAAAACCCGUGGCUCAACUGUGGGCGGGCAGCUGAUACGGGCAGGCUGGAGUUCGGUAGGGGAGACUGGAAUUCCUGGUGUAGCGGUGAAAUGCGCAGAUAUCAGGAGGAACACCGGUGGUGUAGACGGCUCACUGGACCGUAACUGACGCUGAGACACGAAAGCGUGGGUAGCAAACAGG